CGUGAACCUUUACUAUAGCUUGACACUGAACAUUGAGCCUUGAUGUGUAGGAUAGGUGGGAGGCUUUGAAGUGUGGACGCCAGUCUGCAUGGAGCCGACCUUGAAAUACCACCCUUUAAUGUUUGAUGUUCUAACGUGGACCCGUAAUCCGGGUUGCGGACAGUGUCUGGUGGGUAGUUUGACUGGGGCGGUCUCCUCCUAAAGAGUAACGGAGGAGCACGAAGGUUGGCUAAUCCUGGUCGGACAUCAGGAGGUUAGUGCAAUGGCAUAAGCCAGCUUGACUGCGAGCGUGACGGCGCGAGCAGGUGCGAAAGCAGGUCAUAGUGAUCCGGUGGUUCUGAAUGGAAGGGCCAUCGCUCAACGGAUAAAAGGUACUCCGGGGAUAACAGGCUGAUACCGCCCAAGAGUUCAUAUCGACGGCGGUGUUUGGCACCUCGAUGUCGGCUCAUCACAUCCUGGGGCUGAAGUAGGUCCCAAGGGUAUGGCUGUUCGCCAUUUAAAGUGGUACGCGAGCUGGGUUUAGAACGUCGUGAGACAGUUCGGUCCCUA
rnacentral:rRNA from 1 species